CAGUACCGCGGUAAUACGUAGGUGGCAAGCGUUGUCCGGAAUUAUUGGGCGUAAAGGGCUCGCAGGCGGUUUCUUAAGUCUGAUGUGAAAGCCCCCGGCUCAACCGGAGAGGGUCAUUGGAGACUGGGAAACUUGAGUGCAGAAGAGGAGAGUGGAAUUCCACGUGUAGCGGUGAAAUGCGUAGAGAUGUGGAGGAACACCAGUGGCGAAGGCGACUCUCUGGUCUGUAACUGACGCUGAGGAGCGAAAGCGUGGGGAGCGAACAGGAUUAGAUACCCCAGUAGUCCCUGUCUCUUAUACC
rnacentral:rRNA from 1 species